AGAGUUUGAUCCUGGCUCAGGACGAACGCUGGCGGCGUGCCUAAUACAUGCAAGUCGAGCGGACAGAUGGGAGCUUGCUCCCUGAUGUUAGCGGCGGACGGGUGAGUAACACGUGGGUAACCUGCCUGUAAGACUGGGAUAACUCCGGGAAACCGGGGCUAAUACCGGAUGGUUGUUUGAACCGCAUGGUUCAAACAUAAAAGGUGGCUUCGGCUACCACUUACAGAUGGACCCGCGGCGCAUUAGCUAGUUGGUGAGGUAACGGCUCACCAAGGCAACGAUGCGUAGCCGACCUGAGAGGGUGAUCGGCCACACUGGGACUGAGACACGGCCCGGACUCCUACGGGAGGCAGCAGUAGGGAAUCUUCCGCAAUGGACGAAAGUCUGACGGAGCAACGCCGCGUGAGUGAUGAAGGUUUUCGGAUCGUAAAGCUCUGUUGUUAGGGAAGAACAAGUACCGUUCGAAUAGGGCGGUACCUUGACGGUACCUAACCAGAAAGCCACGGCUAACUACGUGCCAGCAGCCGCGGUAAUACGUAGGUGGCAAGCGUUGUCCGGAAUUAUUGGGCGUAAAGGGCUCGCAGGCGGUUUCUUAAGCCUGAUGUGAAAGCCCCCGGCUCAACCGGGGAGGGUCAUUGGAAACUGGGGAACUUGAGUGCAGAAGAGGAGAGUGGAAUUCCACGUGUAGCGGUGAAAUGCGUAGAGAUGUGGAGGAACACCAGUGGCGAAGGCGACUCUCUGGUCUGUAACUGACGCUGAGGAGCGAAAGCGUGGGGAGCGAACAGGAUUAGAUACCCUGGUAGUCCACGCCGUAAACGAUGAGUGCUAAGUGUUAGGGGGUUUCCGCCCCUUAGUGCUGCAGCUAACGCAUUAAGCACUCCGCCUGGGGAGUACGGUCGCAAGACUGAAACUCAAAGGAAUUGACGGGGGCCCGCACAAGCGGUGGAGCAUGUGGUUUAAUUCGAAACAACGCGAAGAACCUUACCAGGUCUUGACAUCCUCUGACAAUCCUAGAGAUAGGACGUCCCCUUCGGGGGCAGAGUGACAGGUGGUGCAUGGUUGUCGUCAGCUCGUGUCGUGAGAUGUUGGGUUAAGUCCCGCAACGAGCGCAACCCUUGAUCUUAGUUGCCAGCAUUCAGUUGGGCACUCUAAGGUGACUGCCGGUGACAAACCGGAGGAAGGUGGGGAUGACGUCAAAUCAUCAUGCCCCUUAUGACCUGGGCUACACACGUGCUACAAUGGACAGAACAAAGGGCAGCGAAACCGCGAGGUUAAGCCAAUCCCACAAAUCUGUUCUCAGUUCGAAUCGCAGUCUGCAACUCGACUGCGUGAAGCUGGAAUCGCUAGUAAUCGCGGAUCAGCAUGCCGCGGUGAAUACGUUCCCGGGCCUUGUACACACCGCCCGUCACACCACGAGAGUUUGUAACACCCGAAGUCGGUGAGGUAACCUUUUAGGAGCCAGCCGCCGAAGGUGGGACAGAUGAUUGGGGUGAAGUCGAAACAAGGUAGCCGUAUCGGAAGGUGCGGCUG
rnacentral:rRNA from 1 species